rnacentral:misc_RNA from 1 species
GAUGAAGAACGCAGCGAAAUGCGAUAAGUAAUGUGAAUUGCAGAAUUCAGUGAAUCAUCGAAUCUUUGAACGCACCUUGCGCCCUUUGGCCAUUCCGAAGGGCAUGCCUGUUUGAGUAUCAUGAACACCUCAACUCUUCAUGGUUUUCCGUGAUGAGCUUGGACUUUGGGGGUCUUGCUGGCCUAUGGUCAGCUCCUCUAAAAUAAAUCAGCUUGCCAGUGUUUGGUGGGUAUCACAGGUGUGAUAACUAUCUACGCUUGUGGUUUUCCACCAGGUAACCUUCAGCAGUGGAGGUUCGCUGGAGCUCACAGAUGUGUCUCUCCUCAGUGAGGACAGCUCUUUGAAUGUAUGAUCUCAAAUCAGGUAGGACUACCCGCUGAACUUAAGCAUAUCAAUAAGCGGAGGA